AAAAUAUUGUCCAUGUUUUGUACAAUUAAACCUAUAGGAGAAAGAUAUUUGCCUCUGUGAGACAGGAAAACCCUGGGAAAUUGGAGUGUAUGUCACAUGAAUUGACACAGCUGGUAUAUUUGCUGUUGUGAAACAUCUACUACAUCCACAGUCCCUAGAGAUUUGGGUGCCAACAAAAUCUCUUAAGCAUGUCAGAGUCCUAACCAACGUUCCCCCUCAAAAGCACAUGACAUCUAAUGAAGCAGUAGAAUUCUCCAGCUUUGGAAGGAGAGGUUGCCAAAGGGGAUCCCACGGGUCCAUGAGAGGCUCCAGGAGAGGCACCCCAGAAAAGGACCAAGCUGGGCAGAACUAGUUAACAGGUAGGUCAUGGCAGUUGCUAGUGACAUCAUCAGUAAUGCCUUCCUUGGAGAAUCUCUUGUAUCUAGGAUAGAACUAGAAUCUUCUGUGUUGUCACCUGUGUUGUGGUGACAGCAACUGCCUGUGGUUCAUCCCUUCUGUUUGCUCUGGGUUCACCAGCAGGAAUGUUUUCCUGGCUGCUCAGGCUAUUUCAGAAAGAGAAUGGCGAUGAAGGAGAGACCAGACCAACAGAGAAGGAAGAGGGAAUCCUUUCUCAUGAAAAAGGAAGAAGGAAAUGGUUAUGGAGAAGGCACAGGUCUGCUAGAAAUACUUCAACCCAAAAUUCCAAAAUGACUAAGAAGAGAUCCAAAAGAAAUGAACUAGAAGAACUGAA
rnacentral:lncRNA from 1 species